ACAAUGGGCGCAAGCCUGAUCCAGCCAUGCCGCGUGUGUGAAGAAGGCCUGAGGGUUGUAAAGCU
rnacentral:rRNA from 1 species